rnacentral:rRNA from 1 species
UGGGGAAUUUUGCACAAUGGGGGAAACCCUGAUGCAGCGACGCCGCGUGAUUUAGAAGGCCUUCGGGUUGUAAAAAUCUUUUCUAUGGGAAGAAAAUGACAGUACCAUAGGAAUAAGGACCGGCUAAUUACGUGCCAGCAGCCGCGGUAAUACGUAAGGUCCGAGCGUUGUCCGGAAUCAUUGGGCGUAAAGGGUACGUAGGCGGGUAAGCAAGUUAGAAGUGAAAUCCUAUAGCUCAACUAUAGUAAGCUUUUAAAACUGCUCAUCUUGAGGUAUGGAAGGGAAAGUGGAAGUCCUAGUGUAGCGGUGAAAUGCGCAGAUAUUAGGAGGAAUACCGGUGGCGAAGGCGACUUUCUGGCCAUAACCUGACGCUGAGGUACGAAAGCGUGGGUAGCAAACAGG